rnacentral:rRNA from 1 species
UACGGGGGGUGCGAGCGUUGUCCGGAAUCACUGGUCGUAAAGGGCGCGUAGGUGGUUUGAUAAGGGUGUGGUGAAAGUCCGGGGCUCAACCCCGGAUCUGCCGUGCCGACUGUCAAACUCGAGGGCUGUAGAGGCAGACGGAAUUCCGGGUGUAGCGGUGGAAUGCGUAGAGAUCCGGAGGAAGACCGGUGGCGAAGGCGGUCUGCUGGGCAGUUUCUGACACUGAUGCGCGACAGCGUGGGGAGCAAACAGG